rnacentral:rRNA from 1 species
ACGGAAGGCAGCAGUGGGGAAUAUUGGGCAAUGGGCGAAAGCCUGACCCAGCAACGCCGCGUGAAGGAUGACGGUCUUCGGAUUGUAAACUUCUUUAAUUGGGGAAGAAUAAAUGACCUACCCAAAGAAUAAGUCACGGCUAACUACGUGCCAGCAGCCGCGGUAAUACGUAGGUGCCAAGCGUUAUCCGGAUUUACUGGGCGUAAAGGGCGUGUAGGCGGUUUGGCAAGUCAGAAGUGAAAUUCCUGAGCUCAACUCGGGCGCUGCUGCUGAAACUGCUAGACUUGAGUGCUGGAGGGGAUAGCGGAAGGCCUAGUGGAGCGGUAAAAUGCGCAGAUAUUAGGAGGAACACCAGUGGCGAAAGCGGCUUACUGGACUGAAACUGACACUGAGGCUCGAAAGCGUGGGGAGCAAACAGGAUUAGAUACCCUGGUA